CCCAGUUUGUGUUCCAAAAGUUCUUCAAAGUUCUAUUGAGGGGCAAUGCAUGAUGUCUCUGCAAAGCAAGCUUAAUACCAUUAUGCCACAUGGACUUUGUAAUGGAGCAUCGCUCGGUAUGAUCGAACGGAAAGAAAUCAUGAAAACGAAAGGUCAGAAGGGCUACUGCUUAGGAGGAAGGGCCAUGUGUGGUUGCUCGCUUGGUUAUUGUUGGGACAAAGACCCCUUUCAGAUAUAUAAUAUAUAAUAUAUAUAUCAUCGGUAUGCAAGCUAUGGAUGGUUUGUAAUAAAAUGCUAUGUCUUUGACAUACUCUCAUUUGGUUUUGUUAUUUUUGGUUAUGGCGGAAGUAUCUGUUGAACAUUUACUUUUUUGUGAACCUUAUAACAUGGAUGAUAUUAUGAUGAUUAUUGUUAUGAUAUAUGUUUAAAGUAAGAGUAUCCUGUAUUGUGUUGGGUUGUGAAAUUUGAAAUUCUUAGGGAAGUUUUGGUUGGUGAUUAUCUGCUGUGCUGAUUGUUUCAUUUAUACAUGAAAAUUCAAAUUGUGAUUGGUUGUUUAA